rnacentral:rRNA from 1 species
GAUGAACGCUGGCGGCGUGCCUAAUACAUGCAAGUCGAGCGAACGGACGCGAAGCUUGCUUCUCUGAUGUUAGCGGCGGACGGGUGAGUAACACGUGGAUAACCUACCUAUAAGACUGGGAUAACUUCGGGAAACCGGAGCUAAUACCGGAUAAUAUUUUGAACCGCAUGGUUCAAAAGUGAAAGACGGCCUUGCUGUCACUUAUAGCUGGAUCCGCGCUGCAUUAGCUAGUUGGUAAGGUAACGGCUUACCAAGGCAACGAUGCAUAGCCGACCUGAGAGGGUGAUCGGCCACACUGGAACUGAGACACGGUCCAGACACCGACGGGAGGCAGCAGUAGGGAAUCUUCCGCAAUGGGCGAAAGCCUGACGGAGCAACGCCGCGUGGGUGAAGAAGGUCUGCGGAUCGUAAAACUCUGUUAUGAGGGAAGAACAUAUGUGUAAGUAACUGUGCACAUCUUGACGGUACCUAAUCAGAAAGCCACGGCUAACUACGU